UACGUAGGGUGCGAGCGUUGUCCGGAAUUACUGGGCAUAAAGAGCUCGUAGGUGGUUUGUCGCGUUGUUCGUGAAAUCUCACGGCUUAACUGUGAGCGUGCGGGCGAUACGGGCAGACUAGAGUACUGCAGGGGAGACUGGAAUUCCUGGUGUAGCGGUGGAAUGCGCAGAUAUCAGGAGGAACACCGGUGGCGAAGGCGGGUCUCUGGGCCGAUAUUGACGCUGAGGAGCGAAAGCGUGGGGAGCAAACAGG
rnacentral:rRNA from 1 species